rnacentral:pre_miRNA from 1 species
GGGGGGAGGCCACAUCCUGGGCUGUGUCCCCGGCGCCCUGUGCUCCUGGGCCUGUGCUGUUAGAUUCGUGCUCCCGGUGGCGCAGCCCCCU